UAGGGAAUCUUCCACAAUGGACGGAAAGUCUGAUGGAGCAACGCCGCGUGAGUGAAGAAGGGUUUCGGCUCGUAAAGCUCUGUUGGUAGUGAAGAAAGAUAGAGGUAGUAACUGGCCUUUAUUUGACAGUAAUUACUUAGAAAGUCACGGCUAACUACGUGCC
rnacentral:rRNA from 1 species